GGGGGUAUAGCUCAGUGGUAAAGCAUUUGACUACAGGUCAAGAGGUCUCUGAUUCAAAUCCAGAUGCCCCCU